GCUGGAGAGAUGGCUCAGUGGUUAAGAGCACUGACUGCUCUUCCAAAGGUCCUGAGUUCAAUUCCCAGCAUCAGCA
rnacentral:tRNA from 1 species